GAAUUUUAGAGACAAUAUUCUUAGCUAGACUCUUACGUGUGAGGACGAUUCGGUGUUUGGCUAACCAUAUUGCAUCAUCCAUUCAUGUCUAAGGAUAUGCGAUGGGAUGUCGGUCCUCGGUGGAGCCAGUGGGAUCGAAAGAUCAGGUUUCCACGUAGAUCACCGAGUGUGACUACAUAUUUAGGUUGUAAAUGACACCGAGUCUGAUGGUUAACACAAAGGCCGGUGAAAAGACCGACUCG
rnacentral:lncRNA from 1 species